CAGGGUAUAGCUCAGUGGUAGAUUGCAUGCUUAGCAUGUGCGAGGUUCUGGGUUCAAUCCCCAGUACCUUCA
rfam:Camelus ferus unplaced genomic scaffold scaffold348, whole genome shotgun sequence.